GACGGAGGGGGCUAGCGUUGUUCGGAAUUACUGGGCGUAAAGAGCGUGUAGGUGGUUUAAUAAGUUGGACGUGAAAUCUUUCAGCUUAACUGGAAAAGUGCCUCCGAUACUGAUCGUCUCGAGGGAGGUAGGGGCAUGUGGAACUUCCGGUGGAGCGGUGAAAUGCGUAGAUAUCGGAAGGAACGCCGGUGGCGAAAGCGACGUGCUGGACCUCUUCUGACGCUGAGGCGCGAAAGCUAGGGGAGCAAACGGG
rnacentral:rRNA from 1 species